rnacentral:rRNA from 1 species
GAUGAACGCUAGCGGCAGGCCUAACACAUGCAAGUCGAGGGGUAACUAGAGUGAUAGCAAUAUUACUUUGGCUAGACCGGCGCACGGGUGCGUAACACGUAUGCAACCUACCUUAUACUGGGGAAUAACUUCGAGAAAUCGGCGCUAAUACCCCAUAACAUUGCGAAGAGGCAUCUCUUUGCAAUUAAAGCUCCGGCGGUAUAAGAUGGGCAUGCGUCCAAUUAGCUAGUUGGUGAGGUAACGGCUCACCAAGGCUACGAUUGGUAGGGGUUCUGAGAGGAUGAUCCCCCACACUGGUACUGAGACACGGACCAGACUCCUACGGGAGGCAGCAGUGAGGAAUAUUGCGCAAUGGACGAAAGUCUGACGCGGCCAUGCCGCGUGCAGGAUGACGGCCCUAUGGGUUGUAAACUGCUUUUGUACGGGAAUAAACCCUUCUACGUGUAGGAGGCUGAAGGUACCGUAAGAAUAAGCACCGGCUAACUCCGUGCCAGCCGCCGCGGUAACAC